ensembl:lncRNA
GUGUCUCUCUUAGAACUGGCUAUUUUGCCCAGACUGGUCUCAGAUUCAGAGAUCUGCGUGUCUCCACCUCCUGAGUGCUGAAGUUAAAGGUUGAGCCACCACACCCAGCAAAUCUGGGGACUUUGCAAAAGGCUAUGCUUUUGGGGAUUGAUGGCUACAAGGUGAAAGGGGAUGCUCAUUGAUCAGUGGGAACAGGAGUGCUGGGCCUUUCACAUGGGAAGACUGUAGCAUGUGCGAAGUAGAUUUCUUCCUCCUGAAGACUGGUUGAUUAGGACACAGAGAGAUACAGGUACACUGUAUGGAGGAGGGUGACCAAGAGUAGCAGUGGUGUGCCCUGAAAGAUGCUUCGGCCUGCUCCUUUGGGGACUGAUGAGGAGAAAUGAAAGUCCACUGGCAGGGUCUCCUUGGCUUAGCAGGGGCACAGCCAUGGGAAGGGGCCGCUAACCCUUCCUGCUAAUGCCUGCAGCAUGCACACAAGACUGUCUGGCCUCUAGGAAGAAAGGAAAAGAGAUGACGGGGCCUGGGGAGUAAGCCCGUUCCAAGAAGAAACUGUGCAGGCCCAUUUCAGCAUCCAAAGUUUCCUGAUUCUGAGCGAAGAUUUUUAAAAGUGCAAAAUGUAUCUCUUUUCAGCACAGAAGCCCCUCACCCUCCAGUCUCAAGUAAAAACCCAGCUAGGAAGCUGGAGAGUGAGCACAGCUCAGUCGCUGCUAUUUCUUUUAAAAAUAAAGUACUAAGUGUUGUGCUGGAAAUUCUGCUCAGUGUCUCGUGUGGAGCCAAUUAUGUGCAGCCGUGGAGAUACAGAUCCCAUGUCAACACAUUUUCCAGUGUGAGAGUCUUUUAUUUUUGAAUUUUGGGAGGAGGACUGGCUUUACGGGUGUGCGACAUGAGCAAUCCCACAAGAUCCGUUACUUAGAAGUGAGUGGUCCAUGUUUGUCUUGAUGUCCUGCUCUCUCCAUCUUCAAAUUCUUAAUUCCCAACAGGGGUCUUGCCUUUUCAUAUGUGACUAGGCCUCUGGACAUUAUGGAACUAGUCUAGUGACAAAUGAUAUGAAAUAUAAGUGAUGUGUGUAUUAAGAUUAUGGGAGCCCAAAUCAAACAUGGCUAGGGGCUACAGUGACCUUGGGAUAUUGCACUGAAUUUUUUGUUCUAACUGCAUUAAGAUUUUCCAUCCCUGAUAACCACUGGGAAAGAGUUUAUAGAACCCAGAAGUUUGUCAGAGAUGGAAGGAAAGCCACCAGAUAUGAUUCUCUUAGAUGAAUUAAUGUGGCCCAGGCUGGAUUUUUUUGUUGUUGUUGUUGUUUGUUCAUUUGUUUGUUGUUGUUUUUAGAGCUCAGCCUUAAGAACCUCACAAGUAUCGUUUCAGUAUUUUUUAAUUAAUUUUUACUCUCUGUGUGUAGGGUGUGCACACCCAUGCCUGUGUGCACGCAUGUGUGUAUGUCAAUCUCUCUUCAUCUUACUUUUUGAGACACUGUGUCUCAUACUACAUAGGGAGCCCAUCAACAGUCUGCAAUGGCUGCCCAGGGAAGUCUGGAGAUCCUUCUGUCUCCACCCUUACCCCUAGCACUAAGAUCACAAACACAUCAGCACAGGAGACCUUUAUAUAGGUAUUGGGGAUCCGAAUUAGGCUCCUGUGCUUUCCUGGCAAGUACCAACUGAAGUUUCCUCGCAGAGCCUCAGUGAGACUCGGGUAUGAGUGGAACAUAAUGGUUUAAAAGUGAUAUGUUUGUGUGUCAAGCUGACAAAGGGUUAUGGUGAGCCCUAAUUGUCAACUUGACAUAAACUGUAAUCACACAGGAAUACACUUUCAAUAAGGGAUUGUGUACACUGGGUUGGUACAAGUCUGUAGAGGAUUAUCUUAAUUAAACUUAUUGGUGCGGGAAGACCAAGCCCACUGUGGGUCCAACCAUUGCCACAGUACCGUGUGAGGGGAGAGAGCCAGCUGAGCAUAGGCAAGCCAGUGUGCAUUCAUGAUUGUGGCUGUGGUGUAACCAGCUGUCUCGGUUCCUGUCUUGACUUCCCUACAGUGACAGACUAUAACCCUGAAUUAUAGGCUGAAUAAAUCCUUUCCCCCGUGUGAUGUUUUUUGUCAGGGUGUUUUAUCACAGUAUCAGAAAUAAAACUGAGAUACAAUGACAACAACAACAACAACGACGACGACGACGACGACGACGACGACGACGACGACGACGACGACGACGACGACGGCCCCCUCUGCUCCCUUUCUACCAGAUUCCUUACCAGGUUCCCAGUUGGGAUGAGUUUGGAGGAUUAAGCUGGAGCAUAAAACAACACGAGGCCACCUGUGCAUGGAAAUGUGUGGUCUGAGUCACGUACUGUAGAUGAACUGAUAUCUUUCCACUUCCUGGAGCAGGUCAUAGCAGGAGGUUAGAGUUUGGAAGAAAGGGUUUAGAUCCCAUUGAAAGAAAUGCAGUUAUCGGGUUGGGGAUUUAGCUCAGUGGUAGAGCGCUUGCCUAGCGAGCGCAAGGCCCUGGGUUCGGUCCCCAGCUCCAAGAAAAAAAAAAAAAAGAAAUGCAGUUAUCAGUGAAGUGAGACCCGGUCACGGGGCUGUCGUGGCGGAUCUGCCUUUCUGCAUAUGCAUUGAUUUAUAAAGCACACUGACAAUGGUGUGGUGGAAUGUUUGGUCUGGAGGUCUGCCUUGCUAGUAUUUCUGCCCGGCACUAACUGAAGAGUGUACAUUUCAAGAGGACUUAUUUCUUAUGCAUGUUUUAUGCCUAUUCCCUCCAGGGGAUAAAUGAAAGCUUGUUUGAGACAUCCUGCAUUUCUUGGAAGAAGGUAACUAUACAUUAAUAUAGAGCCCUCUUUUUCUUUGCAGGCCCAGGACACACAGGACGGAUGUUUCCAAGUCACUCCAGGGACAGCAUGAGGCUCUCGCUGGCCUGUGUCUCAGAAGCUGCUUUCUCCACCUCUUCCUUGUGAAUUUCCUAAACUCUCUACCUCUGGUUCAUGUUCGCUCUUCUGGAUAGUCUGUGUGCAAUGAGCCCUUAAAGGAAUAUUGCAAUGAGCUAUAAGAGUUGUGAGCCUGCGGUAGGCAAGGCCUGCACUGGGACAGCAAAGGAAAUUUCAUUGCAUCUGCUCCUAGGUCACAGGUUAUCCAGAGCCCACUUUACCCCAAGAGACAGCCUCUCCCCCAUCCCUAGGAAACAGUAGAGCUUAGGAAAAUGAAUGACUCCACCACAUUCAAGAGGCUUCAAAUUGUAUACUUGGCAUUUCUGAUUUCAGUUCUGAAAUUCUGUCCCUUAGUCGUGGGGAAAAUAAGAAAUGGAGUUACACCUUGUCAUUUAAAAAACCAUUGAAUUAAGAGAAAUGGAAAAUCAUGCCCACAUAAAACAUGUAUGGAAGUGUUCAUGUUUUGAUCAUGGCGGGGGAUAUAGCUCAGUCAUGGAGUGCUUGCAUAGCAAUGUGCAUAAUCCGAGGUUCAAGCCCCAGCACCGAAAAAGAGAAGCGGGAGGAGUGGAGGCAUUCACAGCAGCGUUUUCAGUAUAGGCGCAAAGGGGAAGGAGUUUAAACACCUACUGAGGAAUGGAUAAGCGGAGUGCCUUGUCUAUACUCGGGAUGCUAGUCAUCAGUAGAAAAGUUUGAAAUGAUAGAUACGAUGGAUGAUCCCUUAAACAUCUCCCUAAGUAACGAGGUCAGCCUAGGAAGGCGUAUGUUCCAUAUUUCUGGGAUAUAUGGGCUCACCGAUGCAGAAAAAAGUACAGCCUGGUAUCCUGGAUUGGAGACACGGACUGGACUUUGGAAGACAACAGAAUGGAACAGAAUUUACUUGAGUGGCGAUGUUCUUGAAUGAACGGAAGUCAUGCUUGCCCACUUGAUGACUGCAUUUACAAACCACUGAAUUUUACUUUUAGUGGGUGAAUUGCAUGGUACCUUCAUUUUAAUCUCAAUAAAGCUGCGAGUAUUUUUAAGAGAUUUCUAAA